rnacentral:rRNA from 1 species
GAUUAACGCUGGCGGCGUGCCUAACACAUGCAAGUCGAGCGGCAGCGAGUUUUACACUGAAUUCUGGAAGCUUCUGGUUGAAAGAGAAGAUACUAUUCAAGAAUUUUGUGUAAAAUGUCGGCGAGCGGCGGACGGCUGAGUAACGCGUGGGAACGUACCCCAAAGUGAGGGAUAACGCAUCGAAAGGUGUGCUAAUACCGCAUAUGGUCUUCGGAUUAAAGCCUUCGGGCGCUUUGGGAACGGCCUGCGUAAGAUUAGAUAGUUGGUGGGGUAAUGGCCUACCAAGUCAACGAUCUUAACUGGUUUGAGAGGAUGAUCAGUCAGACUGGAACUGAGACACGGUCCAGACUCCUACGGGAGGCAGCAGUGAGGAAUCUUCCACAAUGGGCGAAAGCCUGAUGGAGCAACGCCGCGUGCAGGAUGAAGGCCUUCGGGUUGUAAACUGCUUUUAUAAGUGAGGAAUAUGACAGUAACUUAUGAAUAAGGAUCGGCUAACUACGUGCCAGCAGCCGCGGUCAUACGUAGGAUCCGAGCGUUAUCCGGAGUGACUGGGCGUAAAGAGUUGCGUAGGUGGUUUAAUAAGCGAAUAGUGAAAUCUGGUGGCUCAACCAUUCAGACUAUUAUUCGAACUGUUGAACUCGAGAGCAGAAGAGGUAGCUGGAAUUUCUAGUGUAGGAGUGAAAUCCGUAGAUAUUAGAAGGAACACCGAUGGCGUAGGCAGGCUACUGGGCUGUUUCUGACACUGAGGCACGAAAGCGUGGGGAGCGAACCGGAUUAGAUACCCGGGUAGUCCACGCCGUAAACGAUGGAUACUAGCUGUUUGGGGUAUCGACCCCCUGAGUAGCGAAGCUAACGCGUUAAGUAUCCCGCCUGUGGAGUACGAUCGCAAGAUUAAAACAUAAAGGAAUUGACGGGGACCCGCACAAGCGGUGGAUCAUGUUCUUUAAUUCGAUGAUAACCGAUAAACCUUACCAGGUCUUGACAUCCUUGGAAUCUUUCAGAAAUGAGAGAGUGCUUUUUAAGAGCCAAGUGACAGGUGAUGCAUGGCCGUCGUCAGCUCGUGUCGUGAGAUGUUUGGUUAAGUCCAUCAACGAGCGCAACCCUUGUCAGUAGUUGUAUUUUUCUACUGAGACUGCCCCGGUAACGGGGAGGAAGGAGGGGAUGACGUCAGGUCAGUAUUUCCCUUACGUCCUGGGCUAGAAACGUGAUACAAUGGCUAGUACAAUGCGCAGCGAAGCCGCGAGGUGAAGCAAAUCGCAUCAAAGCUAGUCCCAGUUCGGAUUGUAGGCUGAAACUCGCCUGCAUGAAGUCGGAAUCGCUAGUAAUCGCAGAUCAGCAUGCUGCGGUGAAUACGUUCCCGGGUCU